CACUGAACAGCAAAAACCUUAGUGUGAAAAACAAUUAUGGAGUCUGCUCCUGGGCAAUGCAAGAAAUAUUUGGCACCUUAUAUACAAUUAUAUACUUUUCUCCUGACUUUUUGAGUUUUGGCUUCUUGGUGUGGGUCAGUGGCUCCAUAGUCUUUGUCCUAUACAGACACAAGCAGCAAGUCCAACACAUUUGUAGCAAGAGACUCUCC
rnacentral:lncRNA from 1 species